rnacentral:rRNA from 1 species
GAUGAACGCUGGCGGCGUGCCUAAUACAUGCAAGUCGAACGGAUCGGCGGACGGGUGCGUAAUGCCUAGGAAUCUGCCUGGUCGUGGGGGAUAACGUCCGGAAACGGGAGCUAAUAUCGAAUACUAUCAGAUGAGCCUAGGUCGGAUUAGCUAGUUGGUGGGGUAAAGGCCUACCAAGGCGACGAUCCGUAACUGGUCUGAGAGGAUGAUCAGUCACACUGGGACUGAGACACGGUCCAGACUCCUACGGGAGGCAGCAGUGGGGAAUAUUGCACAAUGGGCGAAAGCCUGAUCCAGCCAUGCCGCGUGUGUGAAGAAGGUCUUCGGAUUGUAAAGCACUUUAAGUUGGGAGGCGUUACCAACAGAAUAAGCACCGGCUAACUUCGUGCCAGCAGCCGCGGUAAUAC